AGUGAACGCUGGCGGUAGGCCUAACACAUGCAAGUCGAACGGCAGCACAGUAAGAGCUUGCUCUUACGGGUGGCGAGUGGCGGACGGGUGAGGAAUACAUCGGAAUCUACUUUUUCGUGGGGGAUAACGUAGGGAAACUUACGCUAAUACCGCAUACGACCUACGGGUGAAAGCAGGGGAUCUUCGGACCUUGCGCGAUUGAAUGAGCCGAUGUCGGAUUAGCUAGUUGGCGGGGUAAAGGCCCACCAAGGCGACGAUCCGUAGCUGGUCUGAGAGGAUGAUCAGCCACACUGGAACUGAGACACGGUCCAGAUUCCCACGGGAGGCAGCAGUGGGGAAUAUUGGACAAUGGGCGCAAGCCUGAUCCAGCCAUACCGCGUGGGUGAAGAAGGCCUUCGGGUUGUAAAGCCCUUUUGUUGGGAAAGAAAAGCAGCAGGUUAAUACCCCGCUGUUCUGACGGUACCCAAAGAAUAAGCACCGGCUAACUUCGUG
rnacentral:rRNA from 1 species